rnacentral:rRNA from 1 species
UGCGUAGGUGGCGUGGUAAGUCAGAUGUGAAAGCCCGGGGCUCAACCUCGGAAUUGCAUCCGAUACUGCCAUGCUAGAGUACUGAAGAGGUGACUAGAAUUCUAGGUGUAGCAGUGAAAUGCGUAGAUAUCUAGAGGAAUACCAACGGCGAAGGCAGGUCACUGGGCAGUUACUGACACUGAGGCACGAAGGCCAGGGGAGCAAACG